rnacentral:rRNA from 1 species
AGAGUUUGAUCAUGGCUCAGGAUGAACGCUGGCGGCGUGCCUAAUACAUGCAAGUCGAACGGAGAUUGUAGCAAUACGGUCUUAGUGGCGAACGGGCGAGUAACGCGUUGAUGACCUGCCCCGAAGUGUGGGAUACCAGUCCGAAAGGAUUGCUAAUACCGCAUGUGAUCAUUGGGAUUAGAUGCCCUUUGAUUAAAGGAGAAAUUCGCUUUGGGAGGGAUCUGCGUCCCAUCAGCUAGUUGGUAGGGUAACGGCCUAUCAAGGCGACGACGGGUAGGGGACCUGAGAGGGUGGACCCCCGUACUGGCACUGAAACACGGGCCAGACACCUACGGGUGGCAGCAGUAGGGAAUAUUGGUUAAUGGGCGAAAGCCCGAACCAGCAACGCCGCGUGAACGAUGAAGGCUUUCGGGUCGUAAAGUUCUUUUUGGAGGGAUGAGGAAGGACAGUACCUUCAGAAUAAGCCUCGGCUAACUACGUGCUAGCAGCUGCGGUAAAACGUAGGAGGCGAGCGUUAUCUGGAUUUACUGGGCGUAAAGCGUGUGCAGGCGGUUUGGUUAGUUGGAUGUGAAAGCUCCUGGCUUAACUGGGAGAGGUCGUUCAAUACUGUCAGACUUGAGGAUGGGAGAGGAAGGUGGAAUUCUGAGUGUAGUGGUGAAAUGCGUAGAUAUUCGGAGGAACGUCAGUGGCGAAAGCGGUCUUCUGGCUCAUCUCUGACGCUCAUACACGAAAGCUAGGGUAGCAAACGGGAUUAGAGACUCCGGUAGUUCUAGCUGUAAACGAUGUGGACUUGGCGUUCAGCGGGUUUAAAUCCGUCGGUGCCGGAGCUAACGCGUUAAGUCUACUGUCUGGGGACUACGGUUGCAAGGUUAAAACUCAAAGGAAUUG